AAAAUUUAUUUAGGUGAAGUCACAAACAUUUUUUUUUUAAUCGAUUUACAAACACUUCAUGUUAAGCAUAUUAUUGAAACUAUCAAGAAAGUUAAAGGAGAGCAGAUAACGGCAGUUGGUUUUUUUUUCCUGAAACAACUAAAGGCAAACCCUUACCAUCAAGCGCGUUACUGGAUCAUAGUAUUACCUUGAUCAUACUCCCUAGUAUGCGAGGGGAGAGGAAAAGAAAACAAAAUACGGAGAUGUAAAACAAUUAAACCAUGAACCAAUGAAUGAUUUUCAUGAACGUCAGACCACAAAAGUCUGGUCUGACGUUCAAGAUGCUAACUAUUCUAUGAGGAUAAAACAAGAACAAUAAUUUAGGUCAGCUAUUAAAUCCGUUCAAGAAUUUUGCAAUGCAUACAUGGGCUAUAAAUUACUUCUGGAAAUGACAGCAAUGGUUAAAGAACUUUGUUCAGAGCAGAACGAAGAGGUGGUACUGAGCCUCACAGAAUAAUUUUGUCAACAACCUGAGUUAUACCAAAUGUAGGAUACUGCGUCAAGUCAAAUAUACAUUUCUGUUGCAGAUAUUGUCAAUGAAAUGCUAAAAUUAACAGGUGUAACAAGACAAGGUAGGAUUUAUUUUUUAAGCAAAUAUAGUACACAGAUUUUGUUUUUUUUUUGAAGUGUCCAGUCGUGAUCUGCAAAGAUCCAGGAUUGCACACAAGUUUGCUCAAAUGAGAAGGGUUAAUCUGCGCAUUAAAUUGGCUUAUACUCUCAAAGUAGUAUUUUAGGGCAGGGCUCUCCUCCGGGAGACCGUUCCUGACCUCAUUCAAUCAAUGUUCAAUUUAUUCACUCUCCUGAAUCUUUGCCCUCUUUGGAUAGUCUGUGACAAGUGCUGCGCUGCAGGAAUUCCUGUUUUCCAGCAAACCGGCUUGCUCUGCAGGUUUGUAGUCCAUUGUUACAAUUGCUGAUUGGGUAAAAUGAAUUUCCUACGUCUUCUCUAGCACAGCUUGCAACGCAACAGAAGCAGAGGUAAAAGAAUGCACUAGAAUACCAGAGCUCCACUUAAACACCAACGGAGUCAGGCUUUUUAUAUAUAAACUCACCCGCUUAUCCUGCCUGCCAUUCCAACUGGCCUUCUGCUUUCACGGAGUCUGAAAUAAAAAGAAAGAAACUAAGAAUUGUCCAAAGAUAAUCCAGGCAUAAAUUCGUAGGAAUGAACCUCAGCUAUCCUAUAACACACGUGCCAAUCACUGCUCUUAAACAAAAACGAGGGUUUCUCACUUUACCAAACGCAAAGCAAAGUUACAGCUCUCUACUUGCUCUCAAGAAGUUGCAACUGGCCUCAAACACAUCCUUUCAUUUUUGUUGACUUUCUACUGGUUGACCUUCUGUGGAACUGCAAAACUAGAGAGAUACAGACACCGCAACAAGCUGAAACGUAAGGAGCACCCUCUGAAUGGGAAGAUGAAAUAGAAUUUGGCUGCCUAAUGCUGACCUUUGAAGCCAUGAAAACAAAAUCAAUUCAAGCAAUCUUGAAGAAAAGGCCUCUGUAAAACAGUUUCCCUUCCUCUUGUGACAGUACGAAGGUACUCAGAUUCUGGUCAAAGCCUGCUCUCUAUAAAAGCCUAUUCUCUCCCAUUUAAAUGAGAGAACUGUCUUGCCCCAAUGUCAAGUCACAGCCUUUUAUUCCUUUCAAGCAGUUACACAACAUGGAGCUCGCAAGGAGCUGCGUGUGGGCGAGGGGGAAACCCAUAGGUCACCUGGUGUUUCCCUGCUGCUGCCGUGCCAGUAACAAGCUCAAGCUUUAUCCCAGGCCUGGUCUACAUUUAACAGCUGCUCAGGCAAUCGUUUCAGUUAAGGACUUUUUCUUUAAAAAACAGUUAUAAAAUACCCUGUGCUACCAAUUAAUAUCUGCUCCAAUAAUAGAGAAGUAGUUGAACCCACAAUGAACAGCAGCUACACAGCCUUCACUUUUACUUUCCAUUAUGCUACUAUAGCAAUGUAGCUUUUACAUUCAAGCCAAUCAUUAAGCUAAAAGUUGGUAUUUAGCAUACUAGCUAACUAAAAUAAAUAAGCUUUAUUUCAAUUCACACAGCUUACAGUAUCUUCUUUAGACGCAAGUAAAGUCAAUGCCAAUGCUCAAAUUCAUUGGAAAAUUUGCACAAAAUCAGAGAUGGAGACAUGGGGUGCCUAGCAGCAGCAGCCUGGAGCUCUGCACUCACAGAACAGCUAUUGUGAGAGUUACAGUCUAGUUAACGUUACAAACUGAAGAUCCCGUGCAGGACAAGAUGAAAGAUAAGAGGUGUUUUCCAUCUGGUGCUCACAUAACAUCAGUAGUAAAACAAAAACCGAGCUGCUGUUGCCAAGAAUGGAGAAAUCUAAACAAAGAUAUCAGAACGAGUUAGGUAAUCUGGAAUACCAAACACAGACAGCACCAAGGCCAUACAGCUGGCAUUGGGAUCUAUUACGGCAUUCAUUAAAAGGUAUUAGUUUCCAUUCCUUUCCAUGCAGGUUGGCCCAAGAUGUUGCUAGAGAAGUCAGCAGUUGGUGCAAUGCAUUGAACACUUGCAGAUAUCCUGAAAAACACUGUCCCUUUCCAGAUCAGACUAAUUCAGCCACUGCUGAGUGAGUAUCCUACGGUAUCUGUUGAGCAAAACCCUUUGGGAUGGCAAAGAUUCUUCCUACGGGCCUAAAAAAAAUAGUUGAGAAAUAAAUAUGAAUAAUCUAACAGAAUCCUUCAACCAUCAGUCAGCUGGCAUGAAACUCUAAACAUUUGGUGCCCAGUGUAUGUCACACCAUGCAUCUGACAGAUUCCAGCCACCAGUAUCCUAAAAAAAUCAAAAGCUGCAGUACAGCCCCAAAUAUAGACAGGCAGCACUCUUGUACUACUGGUGCUUGCUGUCACCACUCAAGUAGUGGAAACAGCAAAUUUGCCCAUGUAUGUUUGUGGUUAUGCCAAUUCAGUGACACUCGAUGCUUGCAAUAAAAGCAAAUCCUUGACAAAAACAAAAUCCCUCCCUGCUUCCCCUAAUCACACGCAUUCCACAAAACAGGCCAGAACUUGUGGACUAAACCUACGGAGGCUGAAACUAAAUUACAUCUCCAAAUCAUGGUAAAUUUGCAAGCUGCAGCCAUUCAAACUGAAGUUCCUCUUCACUGACACCCAUGUUUACGGCCUCCGACGCAGCUUGCAGCUACCACAUGCUCCCACAGUAACAGGCCUCUACUCUUUGUCUCAGGAUCUUAGAUACAAUUUUAUUGCUGAGAAAGCUAUUUGUUUUAAGACAAUUCGAAAAAAAAAAGAAAAGGAACCUUUCUUCUGAUGUCCUAAGGAAAACGCGUUACAUCCCAAGGGAGAGAACGACUGGCAUUUCCAACUCCUGAGGGGCAGAGCGAUAGAUACUGCAGCUAUAUGCUGUGAGUCCCCUUCCCCACAGCGCCCACCCCUCCCUGCAGACACGGUCCAACAUCUCACAGACCCGGGCCAAAGCCCUCCACGGGCACAGGGAUGGGAAGCAGCCACCCCAGCUCCCCUCGCCCCUUCUCUGCUCCUCCAAAGGGCACCACCGGGGCCAGGGAACCACCCUGCUGCCUGCCGUCACACCUGGCUCUUCUCCUCCUUCUUGGGGCUCUGGGAUGACGACGACGAUGAAGGCGGUGGCUGUGCCGGCGGCGCGGCCUUCGGCUCGCUC
ensembl:lncRNA